UGUGUGUGUGUGUGUGUGUGUGUGUGUGUGCACUGCAGUGUGAUGGAGGUUUUUGUACGAUGGUUUCAUUAGAAUGUAUCACUGUGGUACACUUUUGGUGGAGGCUCCAAACUCGUGGUGAACACGGGUACCACAGCUCCCUCCGUGUCUCUGCUCCCUCCGUCCCCUCUGCAGCUGUCUGAGGGAUCGGCCUCGCUGCUCUGCCUGCUGUCUGGCUACUCUCCACAGGGGGCGCUGGUGAGCUGGACAGUGGACGGCUCAGAGGUGAAGAACGAGGUUCUGACCAGCGCAGAAGAAGAGAAGAACGGCCGUUACAGCCGCAGCAGCACCCUGACCCUCAGCAAAGACCUCUGGGAAAAGGGGGAGGAGUUCAGCUGUAGGGUCUCCCAUAACAACGUCGAUCAUCCAGUCACGUUCAGAAAGAGUCAGUGUGAAGGCUAGUGGAGCCAAGACAGAGUUUAACAUAGAGCUGCUUAUGAUCCAUCUACAAUAGAGUUUCAAUUCUACACAAUGCUGACAUUUCUGUCUUUACUCUCUUCACUGUCCUGUUGCUCUUCCUGUAGUUUUUGCUGAAAUAAAGCUGAGUUUUGGA